rnacentral:rRNA from 1 species
AGAGUUUGAUCCUGGCUCAGGAUGAACGCUAGCUACAGGCUUAACACAUGCAAGUCGAGGGGAAACGACAUCGAAGCUUGCUUUGAUGGGCGUCGACCGGCGCACGGGUGAGUAACGCGUAUCCAACCUGGCCCCAAGUAGGGAAUAAUCCGUAGAAAUGCGGUCUAAUACCCUAUGUGGUUUGAUGAAGACAUCUGAGUUAAAUUAAAGAUUUAUCGCUUGGGGAUGGGGAUGCGUCUGAUUAGUUUGCUGGCGGGGUAACGGCCCACCAGGACGACGAUCAGUAGGGGUUCUGAGAGGAAAGUCCCCCACAUUGGAACUGAGACACGGUCCAAACUCCUACGGGAGGCAGCAGUGAGGAAUAUUGGUCAAUGGGCGAGAGCCUGAACCAGCCAAGUAGCGUGCAGGAUGACGGCCCUAUGGGUUGUAAACUGCUUUUAUAAGGGAAUAAAGUGAGUCUCGUGAGACUUUUUGCAUGUACCUUAUGAAUAAGGACCGGCUAAUUCCGUGCCAGCAGCCGCGGUAAUACGGAAGGUCCGGGCGUUAUCCGGAUUUAUUGGGUUUAAAGGGAGCGCAGGCCGUCUGUUAAGCGUGUUGUGAAAUGUAGGCGCCCAACGUCUGAAUUGCAGCGCGAACUGGCUGACUAGAGUACGCACAACGUUGGCGGAAUUUGCCGUGUAGCGGUGAAAUGCUUAGAUAUGGCGAAGAACUCCGAUUGCGAAGGCAGCUGACGGGAGCGCAACUGACGCUCAUGCUCGAAAGUGCGGGUAUCGAACAGGAUUAGAUACCCUGGUAGUCCGCACGGUAAACGAUGGAUGCCCGCUGUUGGUCUGAAUAGGUCAGCGGCCAAGCGAAAGCAUUAAGCAUCCCACCUGGGGAGUACGCCGGCAACGGUGAAACUCAAAGGAAUUGACGGGGGCCCG